AUACGGAGGGUGCAAGCGUUAAUCGGAAUUACUGGGCGUAAAGCGUACGUAGGCGGUUCGUUAAGUUAGAUGUGAAAGCCCCGGGCUUAACCUGGGAACUGCAUUUAAAACUGGCGGACUCGAGUUGAGUAGAGGGGAGUGGAAUUUCAGGUGUAGCGGUGAAAUGCGUAGAGAUCUGAAGGAACACCAGUGGCGAAGGCGACUCCCUGGACUCGAACUGACGCUGAGGUACGAAAGCGUGGGUAGCAAACGGGAUUAGAAACCCGGGUAGUCC
rnacentral:rRNA from 1 species